rnacentral:rRNA from 1 species
UACGGAGGGGGCUAGCGUUAUUCGGAAUUACUGGGCGUAAAGCGCACGUAGGCGGCUUUGUAAGUAAGAGGUGAAAGCCCGGAGCUCAACUCCGGAACUGCCUUUUAGACUGCAUCGCUUGAAUCCAGGAGAGGUGAGUGGAAUUCCGAGUGUAGAGGUGAAAUUCGUAGAUAUUCGGAAGAACACCAGUGGCGAAGGCGGCUCACUGGACUGGUAUUGACGCUGAGGUGCGAAAGCGUGGGAGCAAACAGG